UACGGAGGGUGCGAGCGUUGUCCGGAAUCACUGGGCGUAAAGGGCGCGUAGGCGGCCCGGCAAGUCAGUGGUGAAAGCCCGAGGCUCAACUUCGGGUCGGCCACUGAUACUGCUAGGCUUGAGUCGACUAGAGGCAGAUGGAAUUCCGGGUGUAGCGGUGGAAUGCGUAGAGAUCCGGAAGAACACCGGUGGCGAAGGCGGCCUGCUGGGCAGUUACUGACACUGAGGCGCGACGAGCGUGGGGAGCAAACAGG
rnacentral:rRNA from 1 species